UACGUAGGCAGCGAGCGUUGUUCGGAGUUACUGGGCGUAAAGAGUGCGUAGGCGGUUUUCUAAGUUUGGUGUGAAAUCUCCCGGCUCAACUGGGAGGGUGCGCCGAAGACUGGAAGGCUUGAGUAUGGGAGAGGUAAGCGGAAUUCCUGGUGUAGCGGUGAAAUGCGUAGAUAUCAGGAGGAACACCUGCGGUGUAGACGGCUUACUGGACCAUAACUGACGCUGAGGCACGAAAGCGUGGGUAGCUAACAGG
rnacentral:rRNA from 1 species